UACGUAGGGUGCAAGCGUUGUCCGGAUUUAUUGGGCGUAAAGAGCUCGUAGGCGGGUCUGUCGCGCGGAUGUGAAAACCAGGGCUCAACCCUGGGCCUGCAUUCGAUACGGGCAGACUAGAGUAUGGCAGGGGAGACGUGGAAUUCCUGGUGUAGCGGUGAAAUGCGCAGGAUAGUCAGGAGGAACACCGGGUGGCGAAGGCG
rnacentral:rRNA from 1 species